rnacentral:rRNA from 1 species
AACGAACGCUGGCGGCAGGCUUAACACAUGCAAGUCGAGCGCCCCGCAAGGGGAGCGGCAGACGGGUGAGUAACGCGUGGGAAUCUACCCAUCUCUACGGAAUAACGCAUGGAAACGUGUGCUAAUACCGUAUACGUCCUUCGGGAGAAAGAUUUAUCGGAGAUGGAUGAGCCCGCGUUGGAUUAUCUAGUUGGUGGGGUAAAGGCCUACCAAGGCGACGAUCCAUAGCUGGUCUGAGAGGAUGAUCAACCACACUGGGACUGGGACACGGCCCAGACUCCUACGGGAGGCAGCAGUGGGGAAUAUUGGACAAUGGGCGCAAGCCUGAUCCAGCCAUGCCGCGUGAGUGAUGAAGGCCCUAGGGUUGUAAAGCUCUUUCACCGGUGAAGAUAAUGACGGUAACCGGAGAAGAAGCCCCGGCUAACUUCGUGCCAGACGCCGCAGUAAUAC